AUGGUGUGGAUCUCACUCCUGGUAGUCCUCCUCAAUUAUUGCCUAGGCUCCUCAGCUGACUAUGUGCUCACCCAACCAUCAUCGAUAUCAAUCCAAAUAGAACAAAAUGGUCAAAUCACUUGUUCGGGAAUAACAUUGGGGGCAAGAGUGUUCACUGGUACCAACAGAAACCUGGCAAAGCCUCUGUUCUUAUUAUAUACAGUGAUAGCAAUCGACCCUCGGGGAUCUCGGAAUGAUUCUCUGGUACCAACUCUGGCAACACAGCCACCUUAAGCAUCUCCCGGGCCCAAGCAGAAGAUGAGGCAGAUUAUUACUGCCAGGUAUGGGACACCAGCAGCAAACAGCACACAGUACUUGAAGCAGAGGGGGAAGUGAGACCCAAACCUUCUGCUAUAAAAUGA